CAGUCGAUAAAAUAUUUUUCAAGUAGUCAGUCGUUCUUCUAAGAGCUCUGUUUUAAAAGCCUUUGUGAUAUUAUGUGUUAAUUGAUCUGUAACUUGUACAUAAGCUGUACUUACGUUUUAUAUUUAAAUAAAGUUCCAGAGUUUUGUUUUUACAUUAUUGUGAUUCUAGAUCGUCAUUUAUUCAACUAUUUUAAUUCAAGUAAAAUCCCCGGCAUCACAACACAUCGUACCAUCUUACAUCGUAACAUAGAGUGUUGUGACAUAUUUGACAAUCUCCGACUAAUAAAAGUUUAUGGACAACUUUUAACGAAAUUUAUUCAAGAUCUAGGACCAAUUUCUAAACUCUUCAAAGGAACUUCAUUCUUAUUUAACGGAGGACAGAAUUUCUGUGUUUAACAGACUUGAAGUACUACUGGUAGCAGAAUGAAAUCCCUGCCUCCAAAGAUUGGUUAGAAUCUCACCAAGUUAAUUGUGAUAUCAACUAGAUCUAUUCUAUAAAGGAUUCAAGCGAUGGUGGUGACGAAUUUUGAUGAAAUAUUCUGGAAGAUAUUCAUCGACAAGUUUAACUGCGCUACACCACACUGUUAUCCAAAUCUUUAAACAGAGUGUGUGGGAUUAAACCUUUUGGAGAUAUAAAAGUAACUUAAGAAGAGUGCUACUCAAUUUACAAGAGUCUAUCAGAACAAACAAAUUAUACAACGAAGUAAACUUGGUGCAACACAAAAUACGAUUACGUCGAUUCACUCAUGAUAUAGAAACUUUUGGACCAAAUCUAGAUUUACUAAUCCAGAAAAAGAAAAUUGUUCUAUUUUAGCUGCUGUGGGACAAAUUAAUGUACAUUUUUGAAAGUUAGAAUUAACUCUUUUUUUCAUUUAAACUAAAUGUUUAUCUAAACUGUUUCUAUUUCUCAACAUUACAAACGACAAAUUUACCCGUUUCCUGAGUAUAAACACAAAGACUAUUACAGUCACUAUUAACACUGCUUUGGUCCAUUUGACUCUAGACAAUCUGAAAUUGUAAAAUAUUUGUGAUGCAUGAGUCUUUAUUUUUCUUUGACUAAUUUCGACUGGAAAAAUAUUAUAGUAGAAUUACAAUGUCAAUAUCGUAAAAAAUGACAUUUCACUUAUGAUAUAUGGAGGUUAUAUGAUGUAGUGAUUGUUUUUAAUGAAGCAAAUCUUUUAUCAUUGAAAUGAUUUUUCUCAUUUACGAAUAUUAAACGAAAG